rnacentral:lncRNA from 1 species
UCAUUUUUUAUUUCAUUUUCUUUUAGAUCUGGUUUAGCAGUAAUUCCAAGUCAGAAGAAAUCACACGAGAGAGAGCUGGUUAAAGAGGUGAGUAUUUAUGACGUCCUGUGGGAGACCAGUGAGAGAGUAGCAGAUGAGAUCCUCUACUCAGCCUUCCUCAGAGGGAUGUAUUCCAGACGUCUGCCUGCCCGCUGCUAUGCUGACUUCUGCCACCAGGAGGUGCUAUACCUGGACAGAGUCAUCCCCAUGCUGCGGGUAAAAAGAAAAUACAUGAAAUUAAACCAAUACCACAAAGAUUUACUUACCAUGACUGUGAUACGUGGUUGUCGUCCCUAGUUAUCUUAAGAUAAGUUGCUCUGUAUAACAGUGUAAAUGUGUGUAUGAGCCAGGUGCUGAUCAGAACAGUCCAGGGUCCUCCAGACAUCAUGAUGUUUCUCCAGAGAACACAUCAACGCUACCAGGAGUCUCUGAAGGAGGCCCAGAACCAAACUCCACCACACCUGAACCUGUCCUCAAUCCAGCCCUCUGCAGCUGUGCGUCAGUACCUCCAGAGCUUCCAUGACAUUGUGAAUGAGGAGCCCAUCUACUGGCUGGUGUCUCUGCUGCCCAGAGCCCUGCUCAGACCUUACCUGGCACAGAACCUGCCCCUGGGAGAGAGGACCAGACCAGGCCCCAGCCCCUGCCUCUACCCCUGGCUAAGCCUCUUCCCCUGCCCCUGCUACCAGUGGGGGGGUGAGGACAUGAAGCCAGACCAGAGGAACCAGAAGGACAAGACAGGGACAUAUUACAGGCAUCUACUGGAGAAGUACCAGGAUGUGAUAGACGUCUACAAGGCUGUCAACAUCUUCAGAGUCCAGAUGAUCAACGAGAAGGCUCUCUUCACCUCCAGCUGGUUUCCCACUGGUGACGAGGAGGAAGAGGAGGACCAACCCAUCCUGUUGUCUGUGGAGUCUGGUCCUGACGUUAGGGUGAGUGAUGUAUUUAUUUAUGACAUGUUUAUCUUGUUUUGAAAUCAGUCGGGGAUUGUGAACAGUUUUUAUAUUUUAUUUCACCUUUAUUUAACCAGGUAGGCCAGUUGAGAACACCUUUAUUUAACCAGGUAGGCAAGUUGAGAACACCUUUAUUUAACCAGGUAGGCCAGUUGAGAACACCUUUAUUUAACCAGGUAGGCCAGUUGAGAACACCUUUAUUUAACCAGGUAGGCCAGUUGAGAACAUGUUCUCAUUUACAACUGCGACCUGGCCAAGAUAAAGCAAAGCAGUGCGACACAAACAACAACACAGAGUUACACAUGGAGUAAACAAGCAUACAGUCAAUAAUACAGUACAAAAAGUAUAUUUACAGUGAGUGCAAAUGAGGUGAGACAAGGGC